GAUCACUAGUGGAACCGAGAACUAGCCUUUGUACGAUUAUCCUAACUUGUCUGUGUUGCUUAUUUAUCUUUCUUAUACUGCCUAAAUUGCUUAUUAUCCAUUGUGUGCUUCUAAUUAUUAAUUUGAAUUAUUUCUUAUUUAUUGAUUGUGUUACCUAAUUGUGAUUUCCUUAAUCUCGUUGAUGGAUUGGAAAUAAAAGUCCUAAUUACGUGUCUUGAUUGUUAAAUUGUAUUGUUUGCUUAUAUG
rnacentral:lncRNA from 1 species